UAAAAUCAUGCUUGCCGGUGAUGCUGAAGGCGAAACAUACAUCGCAAUGGCCACAACUCCACCAUCUUCCACGAGCUACCUGCUCAUCAUCCUAGCCCUAGCACUAGCACUAGCAGCCUCUGCCGUCGCUGGUGGAAGUGGAAACGGGAGCUGCAUCCCGGCAGAGAGGGCGGCGCUGCUCGCCUUCAAGGCCGCCAUCGCAAGCGACCCGGCGAACCUCCUUGGCUAAUGGCAUGGCCACGACUGCAAUGGGGCUGCGUGAGUUGCCACUUUUUGUAACAACCCUGCUUCUGGCCGGCUUAACAGAAUUGAUAGACUAUCCAUACUAAUAAGGUGCAACUUUUUUUUUUUAAAGCUCAUCAAGCGUGCUGGAUUAAUAGUAGUGAAUAAUUUUACUGAAUUAUCUCACACUGGAUAGAACUACGUACUAGUGCUAAUGGUCAUGUACGUCUGGUCCACUCUGAAAAUGGCAGUGCACAUACAAACAUCACAAACCACAGCAAGCCAACUGCAGAGAGCUGAAACGUACCACAAAUGAAGCAGUUUUGCUUCGCUUUUGAACCAAAGGGCUGCGCCGUCCUUCACAGUCUUGCCAUGCCUACUCUUGUGAUUACCUCUUCAUUGCUUUCUUCAGCACCAAAUCGUCAAAGACACAAACUCGCGUAGGAGGAAAUUUCAGAGGGGCACAAGUGCUUUGCGCUGCUCAAAUUUCCACAGCUUUUCUCAUCUUUUCUCUUCUCUUAUUUGAAUCUAGCAAACUUAACCGAGAGAACGGUAAACAUGCCCUGGUGUGAGUCGUGCCAUCCCACGACUCUAGGAUCAUGCAUGCGCAGCUCAAGGCGACGCAAGACUUAGACACCGCACGAACAAACUCAUGGAGCGGUCCUCACUAUGACAUGGUGAUCACACAACUCGUGUCAACCAUAUCGACCAUUAUUUCAAAACCAGAAAAGGAAAUCAACAAUUGACUGGACAAGGUGCUAGAUUUAUUUAAUACACAGGACAUGAACUAGGAGAGGAUCACUGGAUGAGUGUUUGGUAUGCCUCCUGCAUGGUUGGCCUUGCUAGUGGAGAAGAUUCCAAGCAAGAAAAGGCCAGCUUGAUGAGCAGAGCUAAGCUUUUAUUUUCUGUUGUUGUUGGUGGUGUUGGUCGUUGGUCCAGAAUAUCUUUCACCAACAUAGCUUGUUCCACGCUUGACAUACCAUUUAAUAGGUCCCUUGGGUGCUUGCCCAUCACUAGCUCUAGCGCAACCACACCAAAGCUAUAGACGUCACAUUUCUCUGUCACAACAAACGUGUACGCCAGUUCUGCACAAAACCAAAUAAACAUUAGAAUUAGGAUCGAAUGUAUAGAGAUGAAUGCUUCUCACAUGAGAAGAAAGUUUCUACUAGUACAUACCAGGAGCUAUGUAGCCAUAUGUUCCUGCUAGUUCGGUCCAGUUUGAUGAAUCGGGCUUAAGAAUCCUUGCUGUGCCAAAAUCUGAGACAAAAGCCUUGAAGGUUGUAUCAAGUAAGAUGUUGUUGCUCGUGAUAUCUCGAUGGAUUAUAGGUGGACUGCAUUCAUGGUGCAAAUAAGAUAUUGCCUGAGCCACAUAAUUUGCAAGAGCAAUUCUCUUUUGCCAAUCUAAUUCCUUUGCAACUUCGUCAUUUUCCAAUGUCAUGUGGAGGCUUCCGUGCUGAAUGUAGUCAUAGACAAGAAAUUUAUACGCUGAAUGGGAGCAGAAUCCGUACAUUUUGACAAUGCUUCGUUGUCGAAUCUGUGAUAAGAUUUCCAUUUCAUUGUGAAAUCUUCUAUCGUCAUUCAACUGCUCUUCGCUCUGAUGCAGCUUCUUCACAGCAACUAUCUGCCCGUCUUGGAGUUGUGCCUUAUAGACUUUCCCGUAUCCUCCUCUUCCAACAAUGUACUUAUCAUUGAAGUCAUCUGUUGCCCUUACAAUAUCGUCAAAUGCUAAUCUUCCAUCAAAAUUCCAAACUGAGAAUAGGUCCCUUCCUUCAACAUUUACACUUUCUUGUGGUUUUCUCUUGUUAUGACUAAGCAUUAUUAUAACAACAAUUGCAGCAACAAUGCAGAAAACCGCCACCAGAACAAUUGGCAAGAGCAAAUCAAGUGUCUUUCGUUUAUGGUGACCAGCUACUGGAGUUGAAUAACAAGGUGCCAGGCCAUAGAGGUAGCCACACAUACCUUUAUUGGGAAUAAACCAACUUGCUGAAGCAUUUUGGAGUAACCUUGUUGUUGGGAUUGGUCCUUCCAAGUCAUUGUAGGACACAUCGACUGUUGAAAGGCUCAGCAUGGUUGAAAAGGAUGAUGGGAUGCUGCCCCUGAACUGGUUAUGCGAUAAAUUCAGAAACUCUAGCAUCUCCAACUUCCCAAGUUGCUGCGGUAACACACCACUGAGGUUAUUUUUGCUCACAUCUAGCAUGAUCUGCAGACCUGCUAAAUUUCCAAUCGCACCAGGCAAACUUCCACGGAAGUUGUUGUCGUUCAUCUUCAAGGAUUGUAGUUUCAUGCAGCCCCCUAAUUCCUCGGGUAUUAAUCCACCCAGUCUAUUCCCAGAUAUAUCAAGGUAUCCCAGAUUGCUUAGCUUUUGUAUCUGUAUGGGUAUGGAUCCAGAUAGUUUGUUGGAUGAUAGGUUCAAUAUAUAUAGAUUUCCUAAAGUGCCGAUUUCUGCUGGAAUCUCACCGCUGAGAUGAUUAGAAUCAAGUGUUAGUUCUUCUAGGUUGGACAACUUAGAAAGGACUGGAGGUAUGGAACCCGUGAUCAUAUUUUGUGAUAGAAGUAGUACCGUUAGUUGGAUACAUGCAGCUAGAUUUGGUGAGAUUUUCCCAGAGAGUCUAUUCGACGCCAAGCGCAUGCCUUUUAGUUGUGGGUACACACCAAAAUGCUGAGAUAAAUCUCCUGUUAGUUGGUUCCGCUGAAGGUCGAUUUCAACUAAACUCGUACAUGUCUUUAAACUCUUUGGAAUUAGGCCAUUGAACAUAUUAUUAGAUAUGCCAAGAAACUGAAGUCUUCGACUUGAGCAUAUAUGUUCCGGCAAAGAUCCUGAAAUUGUGUUGUUAGAUAACCCAAGUUUAACAAGGCUUGUGAGAUGUCCUAUUUCUUGAGGAAGAGGACCGGAUAGAUUGUUAUCAAAGAGUUGCAAUUCUUGGAUGCUUUGCAACUUCCCAAAAGUUUUUGGUAUUGAUCCCGAAAUUUGGUUAAGAUACAAGCCUAAAUACUUGAGGUUCAUCAGAUUGCCAAUUUCUUGGGGAAUGGAACGGGUUAUUUGAUUGUCAGAGAUGGAUAAUGCUAGUAGCUUGGUAAUAUUUCCUAAGCUGUGAGGAAGAGAACCAGAUAUUUGGUUCUCGGAUAAGUAUAAUCCUUCGAGGUUUAGCAAGCCGCCAACUUCCGAAGGCAUUGGGCCCGUGAUUUGAUUUGUAUAGAGAAAAAGCUGAUUUAGUUUAGUGAGGUUCCCUAGUCCUGGGGGUAUUGAACCUGCGAUUUGAUUUCUAUAGAGACAAAAUAUAUUCAGCAUAUUAAGAUUUCCUAUUGUCGGGGGGGGGGGGGGGGGGNNNNNNNNNNNNNNNNNNNNNNNNNNNNNNNNNNNNNNNNNNNNNNNNNNNNNNNNNNNNNNNNNNNNNNNNNNNNNNNNNNNNNNNNNNNNNNNNNNNNNNNNNNNNNNNNNNNNNNNNNNNNNNNNNNNNNNNNNNNNNNNNNNNNNNNNNNNNNNNNNNNNNNNNNNNNNNNNNNNNNNNNNNNNNNNNNNNNNNNNNNNNNNNNNNNNNNNNGGGGGGGGGGUGGAACCUGUGAUUUGAUUAUCAUAGAGAAAAAGUGUGUUCAUCUUAGUGAGAUUGGUUAUGGAGACUGGAAUUGAACCUGAAAAAUCAUUUGAAUUAAGCUCAAGUUCUUGCAAAUGGACUAGCCUGCCUAGUUCUUGGGGUAUAGGCCCUAAAAGUUGAUUACCAAACAGGUAUAGAAUAUUUAGUUUGGUCAAAUUUCCAAUGGUUUUCGGUAUCAACCCGGUUAAGCUGCUGUUGCUUAUUUGUAGAACUUGUAGGUUCACAAGCCUUCCAAUCUCUUGAGGAAUGGGGCCUGAUACCAUGUUUUGGUGAAUGCCAAGUUGAGUUAGCCUUGUUAGGUUACCCAGGGACAAAGGGAUAUGUCCUGUGAGUCUAUUAAAUGAGAGAUCAAGCAGCUUGAGACUUUGUAGGUCACCAAUCUGACAAGGAAUUUCCCCUGUGAGCUGGUUCUGCUCAAGGUUGAGUUCUAAAAGUACCGACAGGGAGCUGAUACUAGCUGGUAGUGCGCCAUGGAGACUAUUGUUAUGAAGGUCGAUAUAUGCGAGGAAUGGAAGAGCCGAGAAGUUGAGCUCACCAAGCUGGCCAUGGAUGCCAGCAUUUGGCAGGGUGAUGUUGCUCACGACCCAAAGCAUGCGACGACCAUGGCGAAUAGCCAUGCACAUGAUGCCCGUCCAGUUACAGGGGAUGGUAUUCUCCUGCCAAGAGAUCAUCUGCAGUGGCGGGCUCGCAAGACUAGCUUUCCAGUGAAGGAGGGCAAUGUGUUGGGACCUGAGUGAGAUUCCUCCAUGCCGCGCCGCACGUGCUUCUUCGAGGAAAAGAAGACACGGCAGGAGCAGCAGGAAGAGAUGGAACAGAGCUCGCAUUUUGCAGCCUAGCCUUUGCAUGUUGUGUUUGGUUUGGGGAUCUGAUUCCAUGCAUACGGCAACUCUAUUUAUGUUUAACCAGCGUGUCUUCGAUUGUUACGAAGUCCCCUAAGUCAGUCAACACACAGCAAUUGAUUCGAAACUGCUGGUGCUAUCAUUUAUGUGCCCAUCAGCUGGGCAGCACAGUGUGUUGCAUGGCAAUUACCAAUAUACUUCCUCCGUCACGGUUUAGAAGAUACGUUUGGAAAAUCUCUAGGACCAAGGUAGUCAUCGAUUGGUUGUAAGAUGUAGCAGGUGUAGAUGCUAAUGCGUCUAAUCAACUGAUAAAAUAUUACUAGUACUAAUGCGUGAGUAGCAAAUUAGAAGGGCGCAUGCAGAAAUAGUACUAGUACUAAUUAAUAGGAGUAAUUGUUUUCGCGUCUUAAACCUUGUCUAUUUUGAAAACGCACACAAGUUUAAUUGUGUCUUCUAAACCGACCUAACGGAUGGAGUAGCUAUCAAUAAUGGUGAGCCCUCUAUCCAGCGCAUCAAAUAAUGGUGAUCUGCCAGCCUGCAUGAAUGCCAUGACCAGACCAUGCAUGAUUAAACCUCCCUUAAGUCUAGGUCCAUCCCACACACAAGACUACAAGUCGUGCUAGCUGCAUGACCAAUGUCCCGUCUUUUCACACCAGCACCAAAUGGGACCACCCCAAGUUUCUUCUCGCUGCACUUCAACUUUUUAUAGAAAAAAGAUGAUGCAUACAAUCUCGAUCAUCAGAUUUAUUCCCGCAAAUUAUAAUCUAUCUAUUAUAUUGUUAAACUAAGAGUUGUACGAGCAAUAACAUUUUUCAUAUAGGCAAAACCAUCUGAUAUGUUGCUUAUUGAUUUUAAACGGCUGGAGUUUAGAAUCAUAUUAAUGUAUCUGAGAUGCAUACAUACGUGUAACGCAGGGAGUCUGGUCCGUCCAGUGUCAGUCUACAAACCAAGGAAUUGAACUACGAACAGGCAAGGCAAGGUGGUAGAUGCGUUUACAUGAAGUGGAAGAUGGACAUAAUUAAGAUGGGGUAGCUUGCUAGCUGUUGUACUAUACGACUGUAUGACAUAUAUAUUUUCUGCUCCGGUCCAGUCUACCUUGUAUCGAUGGAGCAUUUGGCUUCCUACUACUGAUGAGUGGCACAUAGUCUUCCUAUUACUGCAAUUUAACUUGGACGAGUUUACAGUAUGUGUAUAGGCAGUGGAGAGUUGCCAGUUGAUAGGUACAAGAUAGCAAUGCUUUUACAGUAUGUGUAUAGGCAGUGGAGAGUUGCCAGUUGAUAGGUACAAGAUAGCAAUGCUUUCUUCAUUGGAUUAGCUUUGGUACCUACUCCCUCCGUUUCUAAAUAUUUGUCUUUAAAGAGAUUCAACUACGGACUACAUACGAAGCAAAAUUAUGUAUGUAGUCCGUAGUAAAAUCUCUAGAAAGACAAAUAUUUAAAACAAUUUUUUUUAACAAAGCCUUCUUCAGAUUAACCGCAGAGAGACAAAUAUUUAGGAACAAUUUUUUUUUAACAAAGCCUUCUUCAGAUUAACCGCUUUCUUCAUUGGAUUAGCUUUAAGAAGGCUUUGUUAAAAAAAAACUCUCCUUCCUUCUCUUUGUUAUUCGAGAGGACGCACAGAGAGAAGGGAUCACGUCUCCUCCCCGUAACCCUAGCCGCCGCCUCCUCCCGUAACCCUAGCCGCCGCCUCCCGCCGCCCCUUCUUGUCCCCCCUAACCCCCUCCCGUCACCCCCGUGGGCGAUCAGGGGGCAACCCUAGGCGCCGCCUCCGGUCCUCCAUCGCUCCUCCUUUGUCCUCGCCAUCGCCAGCAGCGCCCUCGGGCAAAGCCUGGCUGGCAGGGGCGGCGACGGGAAUCCUCUCCCCUUCACGCGACAUGGCUGGCGCGGGACGACCGUUCGUGAGGAGGCGCCGGACUAGCGCGCGGUGCGCCGGAGCUGCAUGUGGACCCUAGCGGCAGCGUGUGGAGCACGUCGACGACUGGGGUUCGUUCUUGUGGCGCGGUGUGGCGGCCGCAGGAGGGCAAGACAUGGUGGUUGCGUGCCUCGUCGAGUUCGGGUCAGAUCCUUCUGGAUCCGGCGCCCGGACGUCGUCGGCCAGCGCAAGGUGGUGGUACUCGUCACUGUUCAGAUUGGAUCUUCAUUGAUCUAGAUACCCGCGGUGUGCUUCUCUCUUGCGGUUUCCUGGCGUUGCCGGCGUGGCCGCGGAUGAAUCUGGUUGCCGGCGUAGCCGCGGAUGAAUCUGAUGGAGGAGAUUCAGAUAAGGGGAAACCCAUUGGUCGGCCCUGAUGUCAGCUGUGCUUCCCUUGCAACGGCGCCAGAUAUACUUCUGCUACCUCAAAAAGAUCUUCGGCAACGGCGCCAGAAAUUGUCGUGUCGAUGGCACCAGGAAUCCUUCAGCUGCGGCUAUGCUUUAAGGGACUUCCUAGGCAAGUAUGCAAAGGAUUUCCCCCGUGGCCUUGGAGCCUUGCGUUGGUGUUCCCUCGAAGCGGAAAGGGUGAUGUAGCACAGCGGUGGUAAGUAUUUCCCUCAGUUUGAGAACCAAGGUAUCAAUCCGAUGGAGGAGUAUCUCAAGAUCCUGCACAAACACAAAAGCUUGCUCCCAACGCUAUGAAAGGGUUGUCAAUCCCUUAUAGAUUGUUUACCAAGUGAGAACUGAAAGCAACAAAGUAACAAAGAAAAGCAAAAGCGGAGGUGUAAACGAUGGAUGUGAAUAGACCCGGGGCCGUAGUGUUUACUAGUGGCUUCUCUCAUGAAAGCAAGUAGACGGUGAGUGAACAAAUUACUGUCGAGCAAUUGAUAGAACCGCGCAAAGUCGUGACGAUAUCUAUGCAAUGAUUAUUUCUACAGGCAUCACGUCCAAAACAAGUGGAUCGAUACUGUCUACAUCUACUACUAUUACUCCACACGUCGACCGCUAUCCAGCAUGCAUCUAGUGUAUUAAGUCCAUAAGAACAGAGUAAUGCCUUAAGCAAGAUGACAUGAUGUAGAGGGAUAAUCUCAAACCAAUGAUAAAAACCCCAUCUUUUUACCCUUGAUGUCAACUACUUGAUGUGUGCCUUGCUGUCCCUACUGUCACUGGAAAAGGUCACCACAUGGCAGAACCCAAAACCAAGCACUUCUCCCAUUGCAAGAAUCAUAGAUCUAGUUGGACAAACAAAACCCAAGACUCGAAGAGACUUACAAGGAUAUCAAAUCAUGCAUAUAAGAAAUCAGCAAAGGCUCAAAUAUAUAUCAUAGAUAAUUUGAUCACAAAUCCACAAUUCAUCGGAUCUCGACAAACACACCGCGAAAGAAGAUUACAUCGGAUAGAUCUCCAUGAAGAUCAUGGAGAACUUUGUAUUGAAGAUCCAAGAGAGAGAAGAAGCCAUCUAGCUACUAACUACGGACCCGUAGGUCUGAAGUGAACUAUUCACGAGUCAUUGAGGGGCGAGACGAGACGAGACGAGUAGAUCAAAAAAUCAAAUAACGGGAGCGAGACGAGUUUUCGCAUAGGAGAAGGAACUUCGGGUGGAAAACGAAAAAUCCGUACAGUGCGUGGUGUGAUUGGUCGGUUCGGCAUGGGGAUCGAGACCCGGCAAACAUGAGUCGCCCGUUAAGGCCGUCCGACAAAAAAAUAGCAUGUAUCCCUCGAGCGGGCUCCGCUUCGGCAAAACCGUGUCCUUCACGGGACCAGAGCCACGAUCCAUAAUAUCCUACGGAAACCAUUGCAGGCAAAAAUAUGACCAACUAUUGUUCAUCAUCACAUGAAAUAUCCCCAACAAAAGCAAGAGUAAAUGUUGCGGAGAGAGACAGAGCCUGGUUUCGGGUACUCAUUGAGAGGGAGAUGCGGCUUUGAGCGCUUUGGCAUGAGACGACGCGUGGCACGGACGCGACCGGAGCGUGUGGCACGGACGCGACCGGAGCGCGGAAGGUAGUAUUCCACGGCCGUCUUCUCCACGAGGCCUCUCCGACGGGCCCGUAGUCGCCUGGGUCGGAGCAUCUAUGACACGGUUGCGUUUUUCUACCGGAGGAUGUCCUGCGUCGCCCGGGAGAAAACGAAUGACUGUUUUGCCCUCAUACCGGAGUUGGGGGCCAACAAACUUUGUGCUACGUGCCUACAACCGUUUUUUGCACCUCCGGGAGCGCUUUGAGACGCUCGCCGCCGUGGUCAAAUUUCUGUCAUUUCGGGCUGGAAAAUUUCUCCGUCAUACCAAAAAAAGAUGCCAUUGUUCACAAUGGGAUCCAAAAAAUACUGAUUUGAAUGACAGGAGCAUGACGAUUAUUCGAACGGGAGGAGGAACUUUGGGCCCGAAACGAAGAAUCCAUACCAUGCAUGGUGUGAUUGGUCGGGUCGGCACACGGAUCGAAACCCCACGAACAUGAGUCGCCCGAUCGAAACCGGACACCCGGAUUCCCAAAACGUUUGGAUCACAGUGGACCCAAAAUCGGUGACUCAUAGCAUACAAAACUGACGAGAAUAGGCCAAAAAAGCCAGUUUUGACGAGUUCGUUGUAACCGGACCGCGAGGUUCGCGAAAUUUUCGGAUCAGAGCGGGACCCAAAAUGAGUGAGUAAUAGCAUACAAAAGUGGCCGGAAUAGGCCAAAACUGCGAGUUUUGACGAGUUCCCCGUAACCGGACCUCGGGGUUCCCGAAACGUUCGGCUCACAUCUGCACCCAAAAUUAGUGACUAAUAGCAUACAUAACUAGACGGAAUAGGCCAAAACUACAAAUUUUGACGAGUUCCCCGUAACCGGACCCCGGGGUUCCCAAAACGUCCGGAUUGCAACAGGAUCCAAAAUCAGUGAGUAAUAGCAUACAAAACUGGCAAGAAUAGGCCAAAACUACGAGUUUUGACGAGUUCCUCGUAACCGGACCCCGGGGUUCCCAAAACGUUCGGAUCAGAGCGGUACCCAAAUCAGUGAGUAAUAGCAUACAAAACUGGCCAGAAUAGGCGAAAACCACGAGUUCUGACGAGUUCCCCGUAACCGAAGCCCGGGGUUCCCGAAACUUUUGGAUCGCAGCAGGACCCAAAAUAAGUGUGUAAUAGCAUACAAAACUAGCCGGAAUAGGACAAAACUGCGCGUAUUCACGACUACCCCGUAACCACACCCACGGUUCCCGAAACGUUCGGAUCCCAGCGGACCCAAAAUCAGUGACUAAUAGCAUACAAAAUUUGGGCGGAAUAGGCCAAAACUGCGAGUUUUGAUGAGUUCCCCGUAACCGGACCUCGGGGUUCCCGAAACGUUUGGAUCACAUCGGCCGGCGGGGCUCCUUGGGGGCCUCAGCCGACGGGGGCAAGACCAGGAGGGCUCGCUCAACCUGGGAGGCAGGAGGGGCCGACGGGAGGUUCCUCUCGGCUCGAGGUGGGAGGAGCCGAGGGGAGGAGGGGCAGGGGGGCCGCCGGCGGGAGGACCUGGAAGUGAGACCGACGGCGGAGGGAGUGAGGGGACGAUCUGGGGGAGGAAACGAGAGGUUGUCGGUGGGGAGAGGGGCUCGGUCCCGACNNNNNNNNNNNNNNNNNNNNNNNNNNNNNNNNNNNNNNNNNNNNNNNNNNNNNNNNNNNNNNNNNNNNNNNNNNNNNNNNNNNNNNNNNNNNNNNNNNNNNNNNNNNNNNNNNNNNNNNNNNNNNNNNNNNNNNNNNNNNNNNNNNNNNNNNNNNNNNNNNNNNNNNNNNNNNNNNNNNNNNNNNNNNNNNNNNNNNNNNNNNNNNNNNNNNNNNNNNNNNNNNNNNNNNNNNNNNNNNNNNNNNNNNNGGGUGGCGCACCAGCCCUUGGUGGGCUGGUGGGACAGCCCAAGAAGGCCCUAUGCGCCAUAGAUAGAAAAUCAAAGAGAAAAGAAAAAAAAAAGGAGGUGGGAAAGGAGAGAAGGACUCCACCUUCCAAUCCUAGUUGGACUAGGAUUGGUGGAGGACUCCUCCUCCCUUGGUGGCGCAGCCCUUGGGGCUCCUUGAUCCUCAAGGCAAGCCUCCCCUCCCCUCCUCCUAUAUAUAUGGAGCUAUUAGGGCUGAUUUGAGACAAGUUUUGCCACGAUAGCCCGACCACAUACCUCCACGGUUUACCUCUAGAUCACGUUUCUGUGGAGCUCUGGCGGAGCCCUGCUGAGAUUAGAGCACCACCAACCUCCGGAGCACCGUCACGCUGCCGGAGAACUCAUCUACCUCUCCGUCUCUCUUGCUGGAUCAAGAAGGCCGAGAUCAUCGUCGAGCUGUAUGUGUGCUGAACGCGGAUGUGCCGUCCGUUCGGCACUAGAUCGGAGCGGAUCGUGGGAAGGAUCGCGGGACGGUUCGUGGGACGGUUCGCGGGGCGGAUUGAGGGACGUGAGGACGUUCCACUACAUCAACCGCGUUCCUUAAACGCUUCUGCUGUGCGAUCUACAAGGGUACGUAGAUCUGAAAUCCCCUCUCAUAGAUGUACAUCACCAUGAUAGGACUUUGUGCGCGUAGGAAAUUUUUUGUUUCCCAUGCGACGUUCCCCAACAUCAACCGCAUCGCAUCGAUCUUCAUCUUGCGAUCGUCAAUGACCUCGGCAACAUGCAACUCCAUUUCAAUAUUCUUAUCCUCAGUUAUUUUCAAUUUUUCCUUCAAGUAUUUAUUUUCUUUUUCAACCAAAGUUAACUUCUCGAGAAGCAUUCCUGGGUGGGUUGGAAUUUCCAGUUCACAUACCUCCUAGAUUAAAAAUAUAUGUCACGUUGGUCAUCAUAAUUUUCAUAAACAAUAAAUGAACCAAAUAGUUAUGAAAAGAUAAUAUAUACCACAUCUAAAUCAUAGACAGGACGAGGGCCGACAGGGGUGGAUACCAAAACCAUCGCACUAUAUAAUUACAAGGAAUAAUAAAAGUAAGAAAAUUAGACAAGUAUCUAUCUGAAGUAAGAUUUUUUUUUCUUUCAGAAAGAAGAUAAGAACAAGAGGCUCACCACGGUGGUGCCGGUGACGAGAUCGGCGCGGGUGAUCGACGGCGGUGAAGACAGGGCGGGGACGGGGCGUGAUGGACCGCUAAAUCUAGACGAGUCUCGUUGAAAAUGGAGCUCGGAAGUCGAGUUUCGAGAGGAGAAAGCUUAACUAGUGUGGCUCGGGCAUUUCAUCGAACACCUCAUGUGCAAAGGAGGUGAACUAGAGCAUCCAAAUGCCCUCCCCUCGCUGGCUCGACAAAAACAGAGCACUCUAGAGUGCUCUGCCGCGGCGGUGGGUAUAUAUGUAGGCAAGUUAUUUGUCCCGGUUCGUGGCAUGAACCAGGACUAAAGGUUGUGGGCCAGCAGCGAGGACCAUUGGUCCCGGUUCGUGGCUCGAACCGAGACAAAUGGUUCCACACGAACCGGUACCAAUGCCCCGAGGCCCCGACCGGCCCCCUGGGCUCACGAACCGGGUCUAAUACCCCCCAUUGGUCCCGGUUCUUGAAGAACCGGGACUAAUGGGCUGGCGAGGGCCGAACGGUGGCCCUGUUUUCUACUAGUGGUCUCAGGUUCUUUUUUUAAUUUUUUUGCAAGUCGUCCUUGCUAGAUAUCAAAGACAAUGAAAAUUAUGAAAGAUGAGGUGACCGUGAUGAUUGGAGUGUCCUCGCAUCUUUACAAGUUGCAAGGAAACAUUAUUGCAGGUGGAGUCAUGGAGACUAGAGUUGCAGGAGUAGCAGCGGGACGGUUCCCAUGGAGGCGGCGGGUCUAGGGCAGACUCGUCGGGUAGCUUUCGGUAAGCUACGAAGAAGAAAACACAUGUCCCGAAUACAUGGAAGUUUGACGCGUGGACAAAUUCAAAGUGGUAAAAAAUAUUCGCCAAGAUGGAGUUUGUUAGAGUUGUGUCGAAUAUUAUAUACGAGUUGGGUUACAUAUGGACUUGGUGUUGUAGUGUGGGUAGGAUACGUGUAGUGUUAUAGUCGGACACGUGGUACCCUUGACUUCUUAUAUAUGAGGAGGCACCCCAUGUUGUAACCUAUGAUGACUAGAUAACGACAGGAUCGAAAGGGGGAGUCGGCGGCUUGUGCCGGCGCCCGGAUGGCCGGUGUUGUUGUAUCUCGGUGAGAAGCGCCCGUAGUCCUUGCCCCGGAGAGUAGACGAGUUCGCUGAACAUCGAUAACAAAUUUCGGUAUCGUCAUCGUGUUGUGAUUGCUUGUUCCUCGAACUUAUUUCAAGAGAGGCUCUCCUUUUGCCGUCCAUAUCCAUACUCUAUUUCCUAACGACUACUAGGGACGACCCACAAGUCGUGGUCUCGUUGAUUGAAAUUUAUUUACACUCUCUUUGACUGUGAACACGGCAGAUGCUGAGCAUGCGACGACCGACCGAAGAGUUGACGUUGACAUAAAACGAAAAUCACGUUCCCAGCUGCAGUCACUACUCUCCAAUAACCAGUACGCUAUGAACUAAAGCCAUGGUGUUAGCUCGCUCCUGAACCGAGUGCUCAGCAGCAUUUAUGUACUUCUUUUUUAUUUUACUCUCCUGGGAAGAGAAAUUAUAUAUAUUGCACACUAGAGAAGAGUUUAUGACGGCAUGCAUCUCCCACAUACAGAGAUCAUGGGUCGUUCUCUUUUUUUUUUAAACCUAGAAAAGAGUUCACACAACUCCCCGAACACUCUGCAAAGACAAAUCACCCAAAUACUUAGAGUAAUUUUACAGUGCAUCCGGUCGAUAUGGACCGUCCGUCGGAGCGAAUUCGACGGUCCAGAUCCGAUGCAAUACGUUGAUGUCACAUGUAUUAUAUCAGAUCCCGAGGGGCAUUUUCGGUAGAAAAAAUAUUUCGAACUGCUCAUCGGCACCGGCUGGUCCUUCCUGAAGCCAUACCUCUAGGUCCGUACCUACAUACAAGUAUACGUGCAGUGCAUGCAUGUAACAAUCGAUCAACGCAUGACAUGAAAGACCACACAUUCGUGUAUUCCUGUAAAAACGUCGUAACAGCCCGGAUCCCCGUCUCCUUUUGCCGUCCAUAUCCAUACUCUAUUUCCUAACGACUACUAGGGACGACCCACAAGUCGUGGUCUCGUUGAUUAAAUUUAGUCUCGUUGAUUCAAAUUUGUUUACACUGUCCUUGACUAUUAACAGGCAGAUGCUGAGCAUGCGACGACCGACCGACGGGUUGACGCUGACAUGCAACGAAAAUCGCGAUCCACAGCUGCAGUCACUACUUACUCCUCAAUGGAAACAUCCCUUUAAUUUCUGUGCCUCAUUUUUUAUCCGACCUGGCGACAACGCCUUCUUAAAAUCAUGCGUGCCGGUGAUGCUGAGGGCGAAACAUACAUCGCAAUGGCCAAAACUCCACCAUCUUCCACGAGCUACCUGCUCAUCAUCCUAGCACUAGCACUAGCACUAGCAGCCUCUGCCGUCGCUGCUGGAAGUGGAAACGGGAGCUGCAUCCCGGCAGAGAGGGCGGCGCUGCUCGCCUUCAAGGCCGCCAUCACAAGCGACCCGGCGAACCUCUUUGGCUC
rnacentral:lncRNA from 1 species